rnacentral:rRNA from 1 species
CACGUAUUUAGCCGUCCCUUUCUGGUAAGAUACCGUCACUACUUGAACAGUUACUCUCAAGUACAUUCUUCUCUUACAACAGUGCUUUACGAGCCGAAACCCUUCAUCACACACGCGGCGUUGCUCCAUCAGGCUUGCGCCCAUUGUGGAAGAUUCCCUACUGCUGCCUCCCGUAGGAGUAUGGGCCGCGUCUCAGUCCCAUUGUGGCCGAUCAGUCUCUCAACUCGGCUAUGCAUCAUCGUCAUGGUGAGCCAUUACCUCACCAUCUAACUAAUGCACCGCGGGACCAUCUCUUAGUGAUAGCAGAACCAUCUUUCAAUUAAAAACCAUGCGGUUUUUAGUGUUAUACGGUAUUAGCAUUUGUUUCCAAAUGUUAUCCCCUGCUAAGAGGUAGGUUUCCCACGUGUUACUCACCCGUUCGCCACUCCUUGCAUUGUCUUAAAUCAUUUCGUGCAAGCACUCCAUUCAUUAAGACGACAAGCGUUCG